CCUACGGGAGGCAGCAGUGAGGAAUAUUGGUCAAUGGACGAGAGUCUGAACCAGCCAAGUAGCGUGAGGGAAGACUGCCCUAUGGGUUGUAAACCUCAUUUAUGCGGGGAUAAAGGUGUCCACGUGUGGAUGUUUGCAGGUACCACAUGAAUAAGGACCGGCUAAUUCCGUGCCAGCAGCCGCGGUAAUCCGGAAGGUCCGGGCGUUAUGCGGAUUUAUUGGGUUUAAAGGGAGCGUAGGCGGGUCUUUAAGCGUGCCGUGAAAUUUUGUGGCUCAACCAUGAGAGUGCGGCGCGAACUGGGGACCUGGAGUGCGGGGAAGGCAGGCGGAAUUCGUGGUGUAGCGGUGAAAUGCUUAGAUAUCACGAAGAACCCCGAUUGCGAAGGCAGCCUGCCGCAGCGUUACUGACGCUGAAGCUCGAAAGCGUGGGUAUCGAACAGGAUUAGAUACCCGGGUAGUC
rnacentral:rRNA from 1 species